rnacentral:snRNA from 1 species
GGCGAGAGUAGUACUAGGAU